rnacentral:rRNA from 1 species
AUUGAACGCUGGCGGCAGGCCUAACACAUGCAAGUCGAGCGGGGUUUUCGGACCUAGCGGCGGACGGGUGAGUAAUGCGUAGGAAGCUACCCGAUAGAGGGGGAUACCAGUUGGAAACGACUGUUAAUACCGCAUAAUGCCUACGGACCAAAGUGUGGGACCUUCGGGCCACAUGCUAUCGGAUGCGCCUACGUGGGAUUAGCUAGUUGGUGAGGUAAUGGCUCACCAAGGCGACGAUCUCUAGCUGGUUUGAGAGGAUGAUCAGCCACACUGGAACUGAGACACGGUCCAGACUCCUACGGGAGGCAGCAGUGGGGAAUAUUGGACAAUGGGCGCAAGCCUGAUCCAGCCAUGCCGCGUGUGUGAAGAAGGCCUUCGGGUUGUAAAGCACUUUCAGCGAGGAGGAAGGGGUGUGUGUUAAUAGUACACACCUUUGACGUUACUCGCAGAAGAAGCACCGGCUAACUCUGUGCCAGCCGCCGCCGUAAGAC